GGAUCUGUUAAAAUUGGAUAA
rnacentral:miRNA from 1 species